GAUCUCGCUCAACUGGGGUAUAACACUCCCAGUUUGUGGGCUAGUUCUUGGCUCCCUAGGGUUCUUUGGCUAAGUCCUAGUUUCAUUAUAAAAUGUGAAGGCAAAGCUUUAUCUGGACUAAGGCUAGACUUCAGUUACUAUGUUGAGAGUUGCCACCAGAACUCUUAAGGUAGUCUGAAAAGUGGUGGUGAGAGCAAAAGGAACCCCAUAUCUGGAAUCAUCUGACCAAAACAGUCAAUUCCUUUAAGAAGGAGGCAGCAGAGGCUUCUUUUUGUUAACUCAAGACAGUGUAAGGGAAUUGACUCAGGCAUUUUAACUCAGUCUUUAACUCACAUUUACCAGCUGCAUGUGAGCCUGGGAACACAGUUUAAUAAAGGAUGUUGAGGAUCUACAGAGCAACUUACAAGAGAGUGCUUUUUUUUAGUUUUUUUAUUUUCUCUGGUUAUAAGCUAUCAUUUUAUUAAGCACAGUCUAUCCUAGUUAUCUCCCACAGCGUACAAUACAGCAAAAUAUGAAGUCCAUAUCAAGUCAGAAGUUUAUUCCAAGACCCUUGGAUUGAUUUUACCAUUUAUACAGUUAACGUGAAUUUUUUAUUCCUUAUGUGUAGUCCUAGAAAAAUACUGUCAUAUCAAAUUAAAUUUGUAAUUGAACAUGUAUGUCAUUCAUUCUUCUGAGCUAGGUAUUACAAAUUAAGAAGCCAUUGAACCAAAAUUCCUGGCUUCAGAGUCUCAUGGGAAGUGAAAAAGAAAAGAAUUGUGGAAAUAAGAUUGCUUAGCUUUUAGACAUCAGGAAUCCUGUACUGCUUUAGUGAAUGUCCUGUGUAGACAGUUGGCCUAACUGUUCCAUGAUUGUUGUAAUGGCAUUUUAACACUAAUACUAUCAAUAUGAUUUUUCCCUUUAUGUACAUCUAAUAAUUUAUAUUCUUCUUAGAGCUUCAGACUAUCUUUUGCCUCUGAUUUUGGAGGGUGGUGGGCAGUGACAUGGUUUAUUAUCUCAUUUUCUUGAGACUUUAACAAUAAUUAUGUACUCAUAAUAGCUUUUGCCUUGCUACUGUCUAUUCUAAUAUUCUUGCCUCUGCUGCCAUCUUGUGGCCAUUACAUUUUUGGUUUGAAAGCUAAAAGUUCACUCUAUUGCCUUUGAAAAAAGUUUUUGUUUUUCCAUUUUGGAAUGGGUACAUUAUCCUUUGGAAAAGGGUUUUUCUUCUAGGACCUUAAAGUGAAAAACCAGCGGAUUCUGGAAGGUGUUCAGGAUUCCCCAGCUACACCAUCGAUGAGGAAAUGGGGUGACACCUUCCCUUCCCUAUCCAUCAAUCAGAGAUAAUGCCUGCCUUUCCCUCCCCCAUCCCAUGGGAGUAUAGCAUGUCUUUUCUGUAAUGGCAGUUUCAAAGUAGACGUUGACAACCUGCUACUAAUUGGGCCUGAGGAAGUGCCUCCUCUGCACCUUGAGAAGCAAGUAAUUUUCUGAAAAGCUCCUUGCUUGUCCUAAAAUCCUGUGGGUCUCUGAGAUCCUGGCAACAGAGUGGCACCUUGUGCUGUUUUGAAGCACCUUAUUUAAUGGAUUUUCGCAUGCAAGUCCAGGGCAAAUGAACCUUGGAGUCAUAUACAGAGUUUUUCUCCUCAGGUAAACGUGGCUUUGAUCUUCAUUUAUGACUGAGGUCAUCUAGUCACAUUGAUUCUGGCAAGGUGAUAGCAAGUGGCACCUUGGGCAAAUAUUGAGAUUGUCCAUUGUUGCCUAGGCAAGCUUCAGUGGAGCAGCCCAUAGGUUAGAAAUGCAGUCUGAGCUCAGAAGUGGCUCUCACACAUCCCUCUUACUUGCUUUCCUUCUGUCUACCUUCCACAUGGUCUAUUCAGCCUAACAAAAUGAGAUGCCCAAAACCCAUAGGCUCUUCUGGCACUGGAUUUGGUAGAUGAAUCUUUGAGAAGUUUGCCUACAUUUCUGGAGGCCGUACUAAACUGAUUCACAACGUUCCUCCUGGUCUUUCACCCCUCUAGAGUGCUAGUGUUCAGCCUGGUGAUCUCUGGAGCCCUGGCCAAUUUUAAAAGUGGGAUCAACAGUGAGUGCUAAAUGGAAAAGACCAUUUGUGGCUUAAUCUUGGUUUUCCUCUCUGUCUCAGCAAGAAGUCACAUAACUUUUAAAAAACAGAGCUGGGGCCUGUUGAUUCAGUAAAGUGUUAAAAAAAAAAAUUAGACUUUACUUCAAGGACCUCUCACCACUUGGAAGAGAUUGCCUAAAUUUUUUUUGCUGUGCUUGGUUAAAUCCAUUGUGAUUCUGAUUGUGCCCUGAGGAAUUCUAGGUUUAUGAGGUAAGGUAUCUUUUUCAUUUCUUGGGGCAGGAAUUUGUGCGCCCUCAGUUCUGUUUCACUUGAGCCCUGUUCCAGAAUCUAGUCCUCUGCCUGCUUAUAGAUACAACAAAAAUUUCCUCAUACAGCAGAAAAUAAUGGUACUCUCUUUUUACAUUAAAAAAAUAGAGAAAAAAAAAAGGGAAAGGAAAAUCUUUGUGUGGGCAACUGUAUCAUCCAGUAAUAGUUAAUUCAAACCCCAAUUUUUCUAAAUACAACCUUCCUGUGUACGCAAACCUUGCAAGCAAUAGCAGCGCUGGGCUCUUGGCACUAUGCUUAUUUGUCCUUUCGCCUGAGUAGGAGGAAGGAAAUGGUCCUUUAAGCCAGUAUGACUGUAAUUGAUACUCCUCAGGGGACCUACAGUGCCAGUAUGCCAAAUGAUGCAUAAUUUUUAAAAAGUAAAAUUUAUUGUUAUCAAUAGAGUUUGCUCACUGAGAAGUUGGUAUCUAAGGACACACCCUCUAAAACCAGACCGACCUCGGUUAUCUUGGGACUAGUGUGCUCCUGAGGGUAUUCUAUGUAUAAAUCUCACUGCCUAAGGGUAGUCAGAUCCCACUGUUUCUUACUAAAUUUCACAUCAGGUCCUCAGCUCCUUGUGAAUUUUCUAUAGUAACUAAAGUUCAAACAUAUAUGUCUAUAGAAAUUUCCCUUUCCAUUAGUUUUUCUGAAUCUCAUUCCUGUUCAGAUGUGAACUCUAAUGUGAUGUUAUUAGCCCCUAAGUAGUUCUGUCCUUUUCUUCUGGGCUACAAAUGGUUUGUGCACUGUUUAAUUUUGGGUAGAUAUCACCCACCCCCAUCCGCAUGCAGUUUCACUUAUUUUUUCAAAGGUAUCAGAAAUAUUUGUGCAAGAAUUUAAAUAGUGGGAAAGGAGGUGCCUUUUGCAUAAAAGGGACUACAAAGAAAAGCUGGGUGGGGCUCUGACGCAUAGCUAAGAAGGCUUUGGGACUAGUCCUGCAAGUAGAUUGAGUUCCCUUUUGGGAUAAUUUUGAGGCUUCCACUUUUUCUUAUGAAAAUAAAGUUUUGGGAAUUCUUAGGUCCCACAGGUUUGAUCGUGGGGAAAUAGACAGCACAAACUCAUUGUGUCUUAAGAAGGCCAAGAAUAACGUCAUAAAAUUCUUACUCUUGAAAAAAACAAAAUAGAAUUUCCAAUUGAAAGAAGAUUCUUCCUCCAGGGAUGCCACUUUGGAGAGGCAUAUUGGCAGCUGAAAGUAUUUUAGGACAAUUGAUGGACAGGGAACAUGUAUUUGAGGAUGUUUGAAGGCAACAUUUCUCUGUAGGAUAACGAUGCCUGUGGGAAUUCUAUCCAAAAAUACUUCUUAAGAAGAAAACCUUUAAUUCAGCAAGGAUUUACUAAAAUAUCCACUUGGUACCCCCAAUGACAACCUAAUUGGGAAAUAUUUACUGAGCGUUUCUUUGUGUUAGGCCCCAGGCUAGGGGUCAAGUGAUGCAGUCUCUGACCUUGAGGAGCUCUGCAGGGUAGAGGUGAGGGGCAAGUAAACCAGCAGGUACUAGACAGUGAUGAGGGCAUUGCUGAGAACCUGUCAAACCAAUUAGUGCCUUUACAUCAGAGAAAGAGCAGUCUACUCUUUGAGGAUGCUCAAAAAAAAAAAAGCUCCAUAGGUGUCAUCAAAUGAGAUAAUGGCCUAUUAAACAUACCUGUGUUUUAUGCAUAUCCUUACCUUGACUUGGGGUGUCUUCCAAGCCAGACUCCUAAGAGCAAAUCCUUAUCACACUGUUCGAUGAGAUCGGUAUUGUUAUUACCCCUACUUUACAGGUUAAGAAACUGAUACACAGAGGGGAUCAGGAACUUGCCCAGUAUUAUGCUACUUGUGUGCGGGGUGGGGCCAAGGCUUGGAUUGGGACCUAGCCAGUUUGACUCCAGAGCUCUCAACCUUACUGAGCAGCCAGGGACUACUCAGUGAAAAGGAACUGUAGUGUGAUGUAUAAACGUGACUGCUUUAGCAUGCAGUUGACCUGUAAGUUUAAGAUUUUAAGCAGCAGGGAGGAAAUUUCAGUUUUGACUAAACGCUCUGGUAUUACAAAUGAGAUAAUACUAAGUUUUUGAUUAAGUCCACAGAAGCUUGUCUUAGUGUUAAACCUUUACUGCCACUGGGAUACAAAAGGAGCACCUUUGCAGUCAACAAAUGGGCAUUUUGAGCAUCUACUGAGUGCUUUUUUGAAUGGGUAGAGGCAGCUUCCCAUUUUACGUUAGUCUGAAGAUGCCCCUGAUGAGUAAUUUCCAUUUAGUUCCCACUUUCUGCCCAGCAGAUCUGCACACACGCCACCACCACCACCCCUGUCCCCAAUAACAGGCCUCUCAUUUCAGUUUCUUAUCUACUUCAGAGCCCUCAUUUUGGAGCCCUUGCUCCAAGAAGCAAGUGGCCUUCGUGCUUCAGCUACCCAAGGUCCCCUUGCCCUGUUUAUCCUUUUCCUUUUUGGCUCCUGCAGACCUUGGGGCAGGGUGACCUUAUUAAAGAAUCUGUGAAACAAAGUUGUCUGUCUUCUCUUCAGAGACACCUCUCCCCUCUACUGGUAAUUCAAAAAGGAACUUUCUCCUCAUCCACUCCUUCCAUCUCCCUGAAGAAAGGACGGGUUGGAGUAGUAAUACGUAGUCAUUGCUCGCGGUGAGCAGCCCGUUACCAUACAGUGAUUGGAUAGUGCCAAAUCUCAUCCCACCUCCCCGCCUUGAACCAGCUGAUCUGGUUUCAGUGUUCCAUGCCUGGCUUCUCAGAUAGAGGAAGGUGGGCACUUAAAAAGUGCUUGUGACCCUCCCCUCUGUCUCUUUGCAACUUUGGCUUUGUUAUCUUCCUUAUCAUUUUUCACUCCCAGCUCUGCUGUUUCCUUUCCUUCUAUUCUCUGGAAUCUUCCAAGCAAGCAGCUGUAACUUUGUAUGUCCUCUCCACCCAGCCCCCUCCCCCGCCCCCAUGGAAGAGGAGGAGAGAGCACCCUCUCCCUGUGGGGUUAGGCCUCGGUAGCUGUUGUAACCUGAGAAAAGAAGGAAAAAGGCCAGGCCUUUUGAGCCAGCAGUGAGCUCCUUGUGGCCUGCCAGAGGAUAAGAGCCUUGCUCACUCAGCGCCCUCCCUCUCUUCUUUCCCCUCCCCUGCUGCAGCAGGGCCCUCCCCCAUCCGCACACACGGGCUGCUGGGUAAGUGGCAAGAUGGCUCCCCUGCAUGUCUCCGGCUGAUCGCCGCCGCUCCGCCAAUACAAUAGAGCCAGCCACUACCAGCAGCCUGGCCCUCUUCCUCCUCCUUCUCCAGAGAGACCAAUCCAGCUGAAUUCGGGGUUUGCCAAAGGGAUAAACAGCACUUCCAGGGGGAGAAAAAAAAUCAUGUUAUCAGAAAGCAAAGAAGGUUGGAAUAAGGGAGUGGGAGAAACUGGGCGAAGGCCGAAUGUAAGAACAAUUGCUACACCUCUGAGCAGGUAAAAGUGGCCUGGUGCUUCUCUGAGCUUUCAUACUCUGUCUGGCAGUUUUUGUUUUUCCUUUUGGAUUAGAGGGGGUCCCUGUUGAAGCUUGAACCCUCGCCAGCCUUCCUCUCCCUGCAGCCCUCACCCCCACCAUUUCUCCAAUCCUGGUGUCUGCAGACCCUGAGGGUCAGUAGGCUUUUACUUACUAAGCAGUUGAUUAAACCCAAGGUUGGGAUCAUCUGCCACAGCCCUGGCUGUUCUUUCUCCUCUUUUUAAGGAAUCAGGCUUCCCUUAGUUUCUCAUGCAAUUUGGUUAAAUAAAGGUGUCUGCACCCAGGUCUAGGGAGGCCACGGGGUUGUGGGCAAAUCACAGUUACUUUUGAGGGACUUUGCAGAGAGGGAUGUUUCUCCUCUUCAUAUAGGGGUACUCUGGUGAAUUACCUAAGAACAUUGGAACCCUGACCCCACACAUCACAGCUUUAUCCCAUCUGGGCAGUGAGUGGAUGUGGUUGCUGUGAUCUGUGCUCUUGCCCCUAGGAAAACCGUUUCCUGGUUUUCCUGGGGGGACAUGGUCUCUAGUCUGAUGUAAAAAGCAGCCCUCCCAAUCCCUCCCAAGUGAUGAGGCAUGGGGGUUUCCUUGACCCAAAACCUAACGUCUUGCUCUCUCUUCCCCUUGGUUCUUUCCUGCCCUUCCCUCCCAACCUCUCCCCAU